rnacentral:rRNA from 1 species
GACGAACGCUGGCGGCGUGCUUAACACAUGCAAGUCGAACGGAAAGGCCCUGCUUUUGUGGGGUGCUCGAGUGGCGAACGGGUGAGUAACACGUGAGUAACCUGCCCUUGACUUUGGGAUAACUUCAGGAAACUGGGGCUAAUACCGGAUAGGAGCUCCUGCUGCAUGGUGGGGGUUGGAAAGUUUCGGCGGUUGGGGAUGGACUCGCGGCGUAUCAGCUUGUUGGUGGGGUAGUGGCUUACCAAGGCUUUGACGGGUAGCCGGCCUGAGAGGGUGACCGGCCCCAUUGGAGCUGAGAUACGGCACAGACUCCUCCGGGAGGCAGCAGUGGGGAAUAUUGCACUAUGGGCGGAAGCCUGAUGCAGCAACGCCGCGUGCGGGAUGACGGCCUUCGGGUUGUAAACCGCUUUCGCCUGUGACGAAGCGUGAGUGACGGUAAUGGGUAAAGAAGCACCGGCUAACUACGUG